GGUAGGUCAUGGAUGAAUCGUCAAACCUCAUCAUCAGUCAUAUGAUAGAUUCAAUUAGCUCGAGUCCAUAUGUGAUUCUCAUAAAAACUCUUUUUCAUUAAUCACACUGCUAUGGCCAUAGAAUUAAAGACUCAGCUUCUUAAAUCUCAUAGAACUUCUCCCUUCUGCUAGGAUCGAUAGAUCCCAUCUAGGUGCACACCCUACUCCUACAGUGGAUCAACUGUCACCAACAUUCACUACAAGGGCUAAUUGAGACCUAUGUUUAUAUAUCAAUCAAACUCCACUAGCCUCACUGUGAGUAGCUGUAAUAUCAUAAGUCAAAAGACCAGUCAUACAACUACAGCAUCGAGAAAGUCACUAUGAGUGAGCAGACAUCCAUAUAACUUUUCGUGUUGGUCACGCUCAGUGCUAGUUGUUCUCUAACAACCACCUGCACUCUCGCUCCAGUGUCCCU
rnacentral:lncRNA from 1 species